rnacentral:rRNA from 1 species
GUGAACGCCGGCGGUAGGCCUAACACAUGCCAGUCGAACGGCAGCACAGUAAGAGCUUGCUCUUACGGGUGGCGAGUGGCGGACGGGUGAGGAAUACAUCGGAAUCUACUUUUUCGUGGGGGAUAACGUAGGGUAACUUACGCUAAUACCGCAUACGACCUACGGGUGAAAGCAGGUGAUCUUCGGACCUUGCGCGAUUGAAUGAGCCGAUGUCGGAUUAGCUAGUUGGCGGGGUAAAGGCCCACCAAGGCGACGAUCCGUAGCUGGUCUGAGAGGAUGAUCAGCCACACUGGAGCUGAGACACGGUCCAGACUCCUACGGGAGGCAGCAGUGGGGAAUAUUGGACAAUGGGCGCAAGCCUGAUCCAGCCAUACCGCGUGGGUGAAGAAGGCCUUCGGGUUGUAAAGCCCUUUUGUUGGGAAAGAAAAGCAGCAGGUUAAUACCCCGCUGUUCUGACGGUACCCAAAGAAUAAGCACCGGCUAACUUCGUG